AUUUUGCAAAAUGAACCUCCUCAGAUUACUUUUUUGCACCCCUCACCCACCCAACAGAGAGCCAAGUACCGAAUUGAGAGAAUCAUGUAGAGUUGAUACACAUAUUCACUCCUUGAAAUAGAUGAUAAGGAGGAUUAAUUUUGAUCACGAAAGCUUGCUAUAUUCAAAAUACUUGUGAAUUAUAUGGAAGCUCUUGAUAGGUUGCUAUACAUACCAUUCUGUUUGCUUUACAAGACUGAUUUUGCUUUCUAAUUUUAUUCUGUUAUUUUGCUGUUGUAGGAGAAUAUGGAGAAUUUUUAUAAAAAAUUUUGUACCCCUGAUCCGGGGUCCUGGCAACGCCACUGGGACUUUCCUUCGAAACCCGACUAACUCACCAUCAAUCAAUUCUCUCUGAGUUAGAAGACUUAGAAUCCAUUGGCUCAAUAAACCUCUCUACCAUUUCUCACGUUCAGGUAACCACAAGUUACUCAUCAAAACUUGUAAGCACAUGGUUGAGCAUAUGGUGUUGGCAUCUUAGAAGUGGAAGAACUUUAGAGGCCCGAACAUUGUAUGACCAGAUGAAGAACAAUGGUCUGGAACCUAAUGUUCAGACAUUUAAUAUGAUUCUUUUCAGUUCAUUUGAAGUAAAAGAACUUCAAAUGGUUAGACAGUUGCUGAAAGAUAUGAUUGAUUCAAGGAUCAAGUUGAGUGACAGAAAUUUCUUCAACUUGCGUAAAUUUCAAUGCAAUUGGAAUUUGUUGACUGAUAUGGGAGAUUUGGGUUUAUUAUCUUCCAAGGCGUUGCAUGCUGAAAGUGUAAAAGCAAAUUAUAAACAUUGUGCUGAAGUUGAUACACAAUGCAACUCCAGUUCUAAAGAUAUUUCAGAUGUAGCUGUGUCAGUUUGUUGAGCUCUUAUUGUUACUACGUUGUGGCCGACGUCUGAUUGAAAGGAGGGAUACAUAUUUAUUUUUCAGCUAAUUAUAAAUCUUGUUGGAGUGCUUGUGUCUUCAUUGAAACUGUUAAUUGCCCCUUCCGAGCUGGCCUAUGGAAGCAAGGGAGAGACAUCAAAGUUCUCAAGGCUGAGCAUGUAAGUUCGGAAAUACAGAUAGAGUUUGCUCAGGAAGUCGACAUCAUGAGAACUGUUAACCAUGCCAAACAGUAUGCUACACUCACUGAACUACUACUUCAGCCUCAAGAAAUAUAGGAGUUUUGCAUCAAACUGGUCUAUUUUGGCAAGGACUUCACUGUGUUUCUUUCAGGAAAGGAACAGGAGAUUCAGUCGCAAAGGAAUAUGGAAAUCACCUACUAGAGCUGUUAAUGAGGACGUGUCUUCUGAUGUGUUAUACGUUGAACAAGAUUAUACUAAAGGAGUUGAACUAUAUUAGACCAUACCAACUCAGAGAAAGAUCAAGCCUGUCGUGUCACAAUCCAAAGGCCAAAAGUGUUAUUCACUGUCAUUGUCGUCGUAGAAUCUAAGACACAAGACUUCCUGCUCUAUUCAAAGUUAACAUGUCAUUUUUAUCAAUAUUAUUUGGCAUGGAAAUUUUGCAAUUAGUCAAUGUAUAUAAAAAAACCAUUCCUGCUAGACAAAGUUGGAACUGAAAGGUAAAUUUCACCUUGGAUAUUCAUCUGCUAUAGCUAACCAUUGGCCUUUGCAUCGGUUACAGACCAUACAAACCAGAAGCUGUAAUUGAACAGAGUUGAGCUAGCGGAGACUUGGUAUUAUAUUGGAAGAUACAUAUUUGUGUAAUGAAUCAUUUCAAAGUUCCAGAAUACAACAAUCUACAAGAGACGUCCAAUAACUUUUUAAUAUGUAGUAGUUUAACUAAGUUAUGUUCAUGUUUAACUUGAGAAUAUAAAAUGUAAUCAUGUGAAUGUCCGAGAUCAUACUUCAAAGGGACUAAUUUAUGUGAUUUUAAUUGUAACUAUUGUUAUUGUUUCCCCCCUCAUACCAUAA